UUUCUACUCCCUCCGUCCGAAAAUACUUGUGAUCAAAAUGGAUAAAAAGAGAUGUAUCUAAAACUAAAAUACGUCUAGAUACAUUUCCUUUUAUCCAUUUUGAUGACAAGUAUUUCCGGACGGAGGGAGUAUUUG
rnacentral:pre_miRNA from 1 species